rnacentral:tRNA from 1 species
UGGGGAGUAGCUCAGUGGUAGAGUGUUUGCCUAACAUGCACUAGGGUUUGGGUUCAAUCCCCAGUACCCUUU